rnacentral:rRNA from 1 species
UUGAACGCUGGUGGCAUGCUUUACACAUGCAAGUCGAACGGCAGCGCGGGGGCAACCCUGGCGGCGAGUGGCGGACGGGUGAGUAAUAUAUCGGAACAUAUCCGGAAGUGGGGGAUAACGUAGCGAAAGUUACGCUAAUACCGCAUAUGCCCUGAGGGGGAAAGGGGGGGAUCGCAAGACCUCUCGCUUUCGGAGUGGCCGAUAUCAGAUUAGCUAGUUGGUGAGGUAAAGGCUCACCAAGGCGACGAUCUGUAGCUGGUCUGAGAGGACGACCAGCCACACGGGGACUGAGACACGGCCCAGACUCCUACGGGAGGCAGCAGUGGGGAAUUUUGGACAAUGGGCGCAAGCCUGAUCCAGCCAUGCCGCGUGAGUGAAGAAGGCCUUCGGGUUGUAAAGCUCUUUCGGACAGAAAGAAAUCGCACUGGUUAAUACCUUGUGUGGAUGACGGUACUGUAAGAAGAAGCACCGGCUAACUACGU